UGGAAAUCAAUUGAUCACUAUAGAUAUAAAGUCUUUGAGCCACUGAUUGUAACUAGCCACACCUAGUUCAUCUAAUUUCUGAAGUUCUGAUAUAAUGGAAAAAGCCUUCACUAUUUUUCACUUAAUAUCACUCAUGUUGCUUCACGUGGUCGUGGAUAGUUUAGCCACUACUCAAACCAAAAUUAACACUGAUCAAUAUGCUCUUCUUUUCUUGAAAUCUCAAAUAAUUUCUGACCCCUCUCAUUUGUUGGAGGAAAGUUGGUCUCCAACUACUUCUGUUUGCCGUUGGGCUGGAGUUACUUAUGGUUCUCGUCACCAGAGAGUGACGUCAUUGAAUAUUUCCAACAUGGAUCUUACAGGCAGAAUUCCUCCUGAUCUUGGAAAUCUCACAUUUCUUAUUUCCCUUGACCUGAGUCGCAACAACUUCUAUGGCAAUUGCCUCAAGAAAUGGCACGUCUUCAUCGGUUAAGGUUGUUGUACUUGGUUUUAACAUCUUCAGUGGGAAGCUUCCGUCUUGGUUUGGGGUGUUUCACCAACUUCAGAUUCUGACUGUAAGAAAUAUUAGUUUCAGUGGUUCCAUCCCCUCUUUAUUUUCUAAUAUUUCAGCACUUCAAACUUUAGAUUUGUGAAGCAAUUCCUUAGACGGCCAGAUCCCAGAAGAGAUUGGAAAUCUUCAAAAUCUAAGGGUUCUAAGAUUAACUAGUAACAAGCUUAUAGGUUCUAUCCCUCCAUCUCUCUCGAAUGACUCAAUGUUGGUGACUUUAUAUAUUUCUUUUAAUUUCCUUUAAGGAAAUAUUCCUGAAGAGAUUGGAAAACUUCAAAACGUAAAACUUUUGGGAAUACAAUCUAUUCAACUUAUAGGUUCCAUACCAUUCUCCAUCUUCAACAUUUCUAGAAUUGAAGCCAUUGCAUACAAAUAAUACCUUAUCAAGAAAUCUUCCUGCAAAUAUGUGUGAUAAUCUUCCAAUGCUGAAUGGGCUUUAUCUAAGUUACAAUGAGCUACGUGGUUGGUUAUAUGCCUCUAAGCUUGCCAAACUGUUCAAAACUCCAAAAGUUAUCUUUAUCUUAUAACGAGUUUGGCGGACCCAUACAUAGUGAAAUAAGACAUUUAAGUAACUUGCAGGAGCUUCAUCUCGCAAAUAACCAUUUCGAAGGGAGAAUUCCAGAGGAAAUUGGGAUUCUUGAUAAUUUGGUGCACUUAACACUAACAAGAAACAAUCUUACCCAACGUUUUCCAAUCUCCAUAUGCAAUAUCUCCUCACUGGAGUGGUUGGCAUAGGAUGAAACCAAUCUCUUUGGGCCUUUGCCAAGGGAGGUUAGCAACUUGACCAAACUGCAAUAUCUACAUCUUGAUAGUAAUAUGCUUACAGGUGAAAUAUAAAAGGAGGCAGGGAAUCUCAUUGAGUUGGAUGAAAUUUAUCUUGGUUUGAACAAGUUUACUGGUUCAAUUCAUAUGGAUAUCUUCAACAUAUCAGGGAUGAUAGAGAUCCAACUUGUAGAAAAUAAUCUAACAGGAACCCUCCCAUUAAAUAUAGGUUAUACGUUACCCAACAUUAGACUUCUUCUUCUCGGUCUCUUAAAUCUUUUUGGGACUAUACCUCAUUCCUCUCCAAUUGUUCCAAACUCACUACACUAGACCUAGGUGGAAACAUACUUACCGGUUUGAUUCCAUCCUCUCUUGGAUAUUUGAUUCAUCGUAAGUACCUAGUCUUGGAGGACAGCAAUUUAAUGAGCGACACAUCGCCAAGCUUCUUGACUUCCUUAUCAAAUUAUAAGGAUUUAAAAACUCUUGCUCUAUCUCGGAACCCUCUGAAUGUUGUGCUUCCAGUCUCCUGGGGCAAUCUUUCCUGUACUUCUCUUCUAAGAUUUAUAAUUGCUGAUUAUGGAAUUAAAGGGGAAAUUCCAAAAGGAAUUGGGAACUUAAGCAGCUUAAUAGACCUCGAUCUUUCUGGAAAUGAUUUGAUUGGAUCAGUACCCACAACAGUUAGAAACUUGAGAUUCCUUCAGCGCUUUAACUUGAGCCACAAAAAACUCUCUGGAUUAAUUGGAGAUUGAUACAAGCGUAAAGAGCACAAGGAUUACAAAUGAUACGAGUUCAAAGAGGGUACAAGCACAAACUGCCAUACUCGAACCAUAUCCAAGAAGUGGGAAGAGUGUGAAGACCUUUGCAAAAAGUGGCAAACGGGUAUCGAGAGCUCAAGACCAUUCCAUAGGAGCCAAGCUUGGGAACUACAACGUCUUCAAGGCACAUUCAUGAAUAUGGAUGUGUUUGAGCAUGUCUUAAGUUUGUACAAGGGAGUGUAUGUAUUAAAGUGUGAAGACAUGCCUUGAGUGUCAUAAAAACACUACAAGGCAGCCCCAUUUAUACACUCCAAACCCACCCCCUUCAUUAAGGGUAAAGGUGUUAUUUCCCAUCUCUUUUGUAAUAGACUAUAAGUAGGAACCCUUAGUCUUAUUUGCUUAGUUAGCUUAUUUUGAAAAUCAAUAUUGUAACAUUGAAACACCUUGUAACAUUGAAACACCAUCCUCUCAAGAGAGAGUAGACCACCACUUUGACAUCACAAAAAAUGGUUUCUUCUUG